GAUGAACGCUGGCGGCGUGCCUAAUACAUGCAAGUCGAGCGAACAGAUGAGAAGCUUGCUCCUCUGACGUUAGCGGCGGACGGGUGAGUAACACGUGGAUAACCUACCUAUAAGACUGGGAUAACUUCGGGAAACCGUAGCUAAUACCGGAUAAUAUAUUGAACCGCAUGGUUCAAUAGUGAAAGACGGUUUUGCUGUCACUUAUAGAUGGAUCCGCGCCGCAUUAGCUAGUUGGUAAGGUAACGGCUUACCAAGGCAACGAUGCGUAGCCGACCUGAGAGGGUGAUCGGCCACACUGGAACUGAGACACGGUCCAGACUCCUACGGGAGGCAGCAGUAGGGAAUCUUCCGCAAUGGGCGAAAGCCUGACGGAGCAACGCCGCGUGAGUGAUGAAGGUCUUCGGAUCGUAAAACUCUGUUAUUAGGGAAGAACAAAUGUGUAAGUAACUAUGCACGUCUUGACGGUACCUAAUCAGAAAGCCACGGCUAACUACGUG
rnacentral:rRNA from 1 species